GCUCGUACGCUCGCACGCGCGCUCGCCUCGCUCUCGUCUCUCGUCUCUCGUCUCUCGCGUCUCGCGUCUCGCGUCUCGUAAAGGAGUGCCACACGUUCCACGUGUUCCACGCGUGCCACGUGUACCCGACGCAUCGGCCGGGUUCGAUUUCGUUUUUGCCGUUUCAAACCCGAAAUUCGCUUUAAUUUCGCACGGCGCGCGCGAUUACAAAAUUUUCUCUCGCGAUAUCUCUGGCCGUAUCUCGCGAGCGGUCGACGAGAAAAGCUCGCGAUCGCUUCGAGGGAUCAUGUCCGAACGUGGUCACCGGUGGCAACGGUACGGUAAGUCGGUGCAUCGAGUCGCUGCGUCGCGCCUGAUAAAUUCGUUUCUCGCCGGGAGUACCAGAACCGGAACCAGAACCAGAACCAGAACCAGAACCAGAACCAAAGUCAGAACCAGAAUCAGAACCAGAACCAGAACCAGAACCAGAACCAAAACCAGAACUAGAAGCAGAACUGCGACCGAAACUGCGAUCUCGAACGGCAACUCAUGAGCGAUCGUGUGCUCGUUCUUUCUUCGGGUUCCUACCGAUCGCGAAACAACCCCCUCCGAUAGUUUCGCGAGUCGAAGAAGAUCGGCAUGGCAUGGAAAGGCAUAGCUGAACAGAGCAAAGCAGAGCUGAACGGAGCAGAGCUGAACAGAGCAGAGCAGGGCAUGGUAGAGUAGGGUAGGGUAGCGACGUCCGGAAGACGGCACGAGGGGGGACCAACUUGCGCCGCAAAGUCGCGGCGGCGCAACGGCGCGUGUAAACAGAGGACAGCUAACAGGGCAGAUAAUAAAGUUCGUCUUCGAGAGCGGCGACGGACACGGACACGGACACGGACACGUACACGGAUACGAACACGGACGCGGACGCGAACGCGAUCACGGACCGGGCCCUCGACGUCCGCUCUCGACGCUGCUUUCCGUUUCCCAUAUCGAUAUUCGAAGCCGAUCGAGAUACCGUCGAUUCGUAGAUCGAAUUCGUCGACGGCGCCGCUACCUGCCGAUUAACCGCUCGAUCGGUAUCCCGUCCGCCGCUCGCCGCUGCUCCGGAUCGGUCUCGAUCGUCGUUGGAUUCGCCUCGUCGAAUUUGCUCGUCGGCCGCGCGUUCGAAGAUUCGAUGCUGCGCGCGCUCGCGAAUCUCGUCUAGAACCGUUCCGAGCGUUUUCCUCCGGCCCGUUAUCGCGAAUCGAACGUUAUUCGCGAUCUAUCGGCCGUUCUCUCGUUCCUUCGUCCUUGCGUUCGUUCGCAGUCGAAUUUCUCUUCUUAUCGGUUACGGUCGACUCUACCGCUACCGCGCUGCCUCUACCGCUACCGCUACCAAUUUCACCGCUACGCUACGACCACUGCCACGAUCGCCACCACCGUCGUCGUUGAAACCACCGCUACCGAAGCUACACAACCACCACCACCACCACCACCACCACCACCGCCGCUGGAACCGCUACCACCGCUAUCGUCGCCGCCGCCGCCACCACUAUUUUCGUCAUCGUCGUAAUCGUCAUCACCGUCGCAUCGCCAUCACGAUCGCCAUCGCCAUCGCUAUCAUCGUCGCCGUCGUAUCGUCGUAAUCGUUAUCGUCUUCGGUGCUUCCAAAAUUAUAACCAUCGCCGUCCGCGAGAACGAUAGCCACGAGGACGUUCGGCGUUUCCUUUUAACGGUUCCCUGGACUACGCACACCUGGACUCCGAUCGAUUUUUACGAUUUUCCAUUGCUCGGACAAAGAAAAUCGAAUCAACCUCGCGCGCAACGUUCGAUCGGAGGAUAAGUAGCGUUCGCAGCGAACCACGCUGGAGCGAGAAUUCGCUUUCUUCGGCUCGAACGAUCUCGGCGUCGUUACGGUACGAUGGGUCGUUGAAUUCGUCUCGACGCCGGCUAGAAUAUUAUCGAGUCGGAAAUAUGCGUCGACGUAUCAAAUAUAUACAUAUAUAUAUAUCAAGGCGACCAGCAUUUUUUAUAGAAGAAAGUUCUUUUUUCGGAAGCUUUUAUAUUCUAAUACGCGAAAUAGCGAAUAUCGACUAGCUUUCGUUGCAAAAACAUUAUUUUGUCGGAUCGUUAAAAAUGUCUGCGACAUCGUGGUGUUUUGGUGAAAAUGAAACGGUAUCUACGAUCGAAAUACGUUAAAGAAAAUAUCGUACUCUUUUACGUUAAAAACGAGCCGUUUCAACGACCGCGUAUUUCGUCGCGAGAAACGCGAACAAUCGUAAAUCUUUGGGACGAACGAAUCGACGGGAUCGGUAUUCCAGUACCCGAAGCCGAAAGAUACGGUUCGUCGAAAUUAUAAA